GCAUGCACCCUCUCGGCCCCAGGGUGUCCUCCAGAGCCCUCCUUCCACACCUCCUCCUGCUGCUCAACAAUCCUUUACAGGAACAACGGGGUCGCCUCUGGACACUCGAGAUUCCACCUACUGCAGCCUCCUGCCAGGGGCUUCUUGUUUAGAGUGUGAGGCUGGAGACAAACUUUAGCAAUUACACAGGAGAGCAAAUGGUGAUGGCGACGGGCCAGAGACCAGAGGACACGGCCUCCCUGCUUCAUCACCUGAGGUCAUCUCGCUGUCUCACAUGCCUGACAUCAAUUUAACAGCCUCCCUCCAGCUUCAUUUUAACUUACUACAUCUGCAGAGAAUGUCUCUCCCAACAGCCAUAUGCCAAGGGAGAGAUCUGUUCUCCCAGAGGCUCAUGCUCUCCACUUCAGAGACUUCUAAUUUCCAAGACAUCCUGCUCCUACAACAGACUCUGAGUUAAUUAAGCUGCUUAGCAUGCUCCUGGGUGUCCUUGUGCUUCACAAAAGGCCAACUUCUCACCUUCUUUAAAGGGACUGUGUUGGACGCGUACCUGGGGAAAUAGAACGCUGCUGAGAAAGGUCCCUACAUCGUGGCCUUUAGAACCCUCUCCUAACAUAGAGCAGAGUUGUUUUAAUACCUGCCCCCAUGGGCUUUGGGAAGAUUUCUCCAGUGAAAAUCCCUUAAAGGAGUAACUAGCACAAAAUGGAAGCCUGGUAAACAGUCUGUUAUCACGGCUACCAAUAAUCUGGGCUGGUGCAGCUGGGACUCCUGUUUAGAAUUCCCAGCCAAACGAAGGGUUAGCACUCCAGGGAAAGCCCUUAGAUCACCUGAGCUGGGUAGUAGACUUCUGAGAUACAGAAAAUGCCUUGUUUUCUUGACAGUCAAGAUUACAGGGAAGGUAAACUGGGAUUACAUCUCAGAAGACGCUAGAGGAGGCGCAACCAGUGAACUGUACCUCACUACUCUUCUCUUCUUCCUUUCAACAAGGAACCCUUUACUGAGGACAGCUGGGGCCUCCUUUAACUUUUUACAAAAACAUAGCCCCUCUGUUGAGACCUAAUUUAGUUUUUAGCAUAACUGUAGCUCCUUUAUUGACACCUGCUUUAGUGUUUAGCAUAACUAAAGCCAUGUUAUCUUUCGUAUCCUUUUUGAUCGAAAGGUGAAAUGGAGUUCAAGUUCUCAGGCUCUGCCUGCCUGACACAAGAAUAGCCUUUUAUGGCCUUUGACAAAAAUCCAACACCCCUUCAUAAUAAAAGUCUUGGAGAGAUCAGGGCUACAAGGCUCAUACUUAUAAUAAAGGCAAUACACAGCAAGCUGAUAGCCAACAUCAAAUUAAAGCAAUUUCACUAAAAUCAGGCAUAGGACAAGGCUGCCCACUCUCUCCAUAUCUAUUCAACAUAGUACUUGAAGUCCUAGCUUGAGCAAUAAGACAACUAAAGGAGAUCAAGUAGAUACAAAUUGGAAAGAAAGAAGUCAAAGUAUUGCUAUUUGCAAAUGAUGUAAUAGUAUAUUUAAGUGACCCAAAAUUCCACCAGAGAAAUUCUACAGCUGAUAAAAUACCUUCAGUAAAGUGGCUGUAUACAAAAUUAACUAAAAAAAAAAAAAAAAAAAAAAUCAGUAGCCCUUCUUUAUACAAAUGAUAAACGUGCUGAGAAAGAAAUUAGGGAAACAAUGAGAGACCAAAAGAUUAAAAAUUAGCAGCUGUUAUUUAAGGCCUGAACUAGCUGGGUGGAGAAGUCCAAGAAUGCCCUGAGGGGAAGAACUGCCUUACUGAGUUCUUUCUCCACCUACUAGAGAUACGGUUGCUAGGAAACUGGCCCAUCCCCCUAGGGAGGGACACCAGGUCAUUAAUGGUCUGGAGACCUUCCUAUAGUCAGUCAAUUCAAAAUGUGGCAUUUUGACCAAUAGAUGCUUGCCAGGCAGGAACUGCCCCUGCCUUGGGCAUACUGGGAGGGACCAGAAUCUUCACAUCACCCAAUUAACCUGAGCACGGGGCUCUCGGCUCUCACCACUUAGGCGGUUGGGGGG